UAUCUCUGUAGAGUCUGCAUAUCAAUAAGCGGAGGAAAAGAAACUAACUAGGAUUCCCUCAGUAACGGCGAGUGAAGCGGGAAGAGCUCAAAUUUGAAGUCUUCAAGGUUCUACCUUGACGAAUUGUAGUUUAAAGAAGUGUUUUCUGUUGGAGUUUUGGUAGAAGUUCCUUGGAAUAGGACAUCAUAGAGGGUGAGAAUCCCGUAUUUGACCAUUAUUUCCAGCUUUGUGAUACACUUUCAAAGAGUCGGAUUGUUUGGGAAUGCAGUCCAAAAUGGGUGGUAAAUUUCAUCUAAAGCUAAAUACUGGCGAGAGACCGAUAGCGAACAAGUACCGUGAGGGAAAGAUGAAAAGAACUUUGAAAAGAGAGUUAAACAGUACGUGAAAUUGUCAAAAGGGAAGCGUUUGACACCAGUGUUGUUUUCUCGAAAAUCAAUUAAAAAAGGCAGGAUUUUGUGUUGUAUUGACUUUAUCAGCUUUCUGCACUCUUUUCUUGUCUUUUUUAAUGCACUUUUCGUUUAACAAGUCAACAUCAAUUUCUUUUGUUGUAAAAGGGUCAUUGGAAGGUGGCUUUCUUUUCGGAGAAAGUGUUUAUAGCCUUUGGCCUCUGCAAUCGGAGAGAUUGAGGUCUGCAGCGUAGAUCCUUCGGGGUUAGAUACAUUUGUGCUAAGUUAUAGCCUUUCAUAGACAACUUGUUGACUAUGAUCAGUCAUGUAGCUUACUCGCUUAUGCUAUUUUACCUACGCUUAGGAUGUUGAUAGUCACAGCGUGUAC
rnacentral:rRNA from 1 species